UUAUUGGCUGAUUGUCGAUCUGUAUUCUCUCCCUGAUACAUUUCUCUUUCGGGUCUUGUAAUUGGAAUGAGUACAAUCUAAAUCCCUUAACGAGGAACAAUUGGAGGGCAAGUCUGGUGCCAGCAGCCGCGGUAAUUCCAGCUCCAAUAGCGUAUAUUAAAGUUGUUGCAGUUAAAAAGCUCGUAGUUGAACCUUGGGUCUGGCUGGCCGGUCCGCCUCACCGCGUGCACUGGUCCGGCCGGACCUUUCCUCCUGGGGAGCCUCAUGGCCUUCACUGGCUGUGGGGGGAACCAGGACUUUUACUGUGAAAAAAUUAGAGUGUUCAAAGCAGGCCUUUGCUCGGAUACAUUAGCAUGGAAUAAUAGAAUAGGACGUGUGGUUCUAUUUUGUUGGUUUCUAGGACCGCCGUAAUGAUUAAUAGGGAUGGUCGGGGGCGUCAGUAUUCGGCUGUCAGAGGUGAAAUUCUUGGAUUUGCUGAAGACUAACUACUGCGAAAGCAUUCGCCAAGGAUGUUUUCAUUAAUCAGUGAACGAAAGUUAGGGGAUCGAAGACGAUCAGAUACCGUCGUAGUCUUAACCAUAAACUAUGCCGACUAGGGAUCGGACGGGGUUCUUAUGAUGACCCGUUCGGCACCUUACGAGAAAUCAAAGUUUUUGGGUUCUGGGGGGAGUAUGGUCGCAAGGCUGAAACUUAAAGAAAUUGACGGAAGGGCACCACAAGGCGUGGAGCCUGCGGCUUAAUUUGACUCAACACGGGGAAACUCACCAGGUCCAGACAAAAUAAGGAUUGACAGAUUGAGAGCUCUUUCUUGAUCUUUUGGAUGGUGGUGCAUGGCCGUUCUUAGUUGGUGGAGUGAUUUGUCUGCUUAAUUGCGAUAACGAACGAGACCUUAACCUGCUAAAUAGCCCGACCCGCGUCUGCGGGCCGCUGGCUUCUUAGAGGGACUAUCGGCUCAAGCCGAUGGAAGUUUGAGGCAAUAACAGGUCUGUGAUGCCCUUAGAUGUUCUGGGCCGCACGCGCGCUACACUGACAGGGCCAGCGAGUACAUCACCUUGACAGAGAGUCUGGUAUCUUGUGAACCCUGUCGUGCUGGGGAUAGAGCAUGCAAUUAUGCUCUUCACGAUGAUGACUAGUAGCACAGUCAUCAGCUGUGCGAUACGUCCUGCCUUGUACACACGUCGUCGCUACUACGAUGAUGCUCAGUGAGUCUCGACUGCUCAGAGAUGGCACGACGCCAGAGCGAAGUGGUCAACUGUCAUUAGAGAGUAA
rfam:Ajellomyces capsulatus NAm1 scaffold_187 genomic scaffold, whole genome shotgun sequence.